AUCUUCUCUUUUAUUUCAAUAUGGCUCUCAAUACGGAGGUCGGUUUCAAAAGUUUCGUUCAAGCACUAAAAACGCCACAACUGCCACUAGGAAUUUAUACUAGGUUUUACAUGUAAAUUCCCUCUCAUUAUUUCUUCUGCUUUCAUCUACCUUCUCAAUAUUCAUUACCACCCUCAAGCUCAAUUAUCUUCUUAACAUGCACUGGAAUCUGUUCAAUCCAUGUGUGACGGGUUAGCACCUGUUAGUAAUUAACUUACACAACCAACUCCCCUCCUGCACCCGCUCAUUCCUGGCUGUUGUGACCUCGCAUAAUCCUCGAUGUUCUUCCACUCUGUGCUCCACACUCAUAUAGUUUCUAACAAUUCUUCUGCAUAGCUUUUAAUGUUCUUCUGCUCUGUGCUCUGUGCUUGUAUAGUCUCUAACAAUUCUUUCAUAUAGCUUCUAACAUUCUCUCACUCCAUGUUCCACACUUGUAUAGUCUCUAACAAUUCUUUCAUGUAGCUCUCAAUGAUUCCUUCAUCUCACACUCUGUGUUUGUGUAGUUUCUAAUGAUUCUUAUAUGUAUCUUUUAAUGUUCUUCUGCUCUGCACUUCACUGUGAAGUGGCUUCUGAUAUUCUUUCACUCUGAAUUUUUUUCUAUAAGAAUCUUUUUUAUAUAAUCUUUUGUUCUGAUUUCUUUUCUCUUUCUUUUCUUAAUCAAUUCAUAAUCUGUAUUAGAAUAGUGUUAGAUUGUUAAUUGAAGUAUAUCUAUUACAUUACAAA
rnacentral:sRNA from 1 species